AGCUCCAAUAGUUUAUAUUAAAGUUGUUGCGGUUAAAAAGCUCGUAGUUGGAACUUGGCGCGCAGGGGGCGGUCCAUUAUUUGAUGCGACUGCCCCAUUUGCGCGUUUUUCUCGGUGGAAUUCCUAGGGUGCUCUUCACCGAGUGUCCUUGGAGGCCGCCAGGUUUACUUUGAAAAAAUUAGAGUGCUCCAAGCAGGCUCGACACGCCUGAAUAUCCGUGCAUGGAAUAAUGGAAUAGGACGUCGUUCCUAUUUUGUUGGUUUUAGGGAUUCGACGUAAUGAUUAAUAGGGACAGCCGGGGGCAUUAGUAUGCAGACGACAGAGGUGAAAUUCUUGGACCGUCUGCCGACUAACUACUGCGAAAGCAUUUGCCAAGAGUGUUUUCA
rnacentral:rRNA from 1 species